GUCCGAGUUGUAAUUUGAAGAAGGUAUCUUUGGGUCUAGCUCUUGUCUAUGUUUCUUGGAACAGAACGUCACAGAGGGUGAGAAUCCCGUGCGAUGAGAUGUCUAGAUCUAUGUAAAGUUCCUUCGAAGAGUCGAGUUGUUUGGGAAUGCAGCUCUAAGUGGGUGGUAAAUUCCAUCUAAAGCUAAAUAUUGGCGAGAGACCGAUAGCGAACAAGUACAGUGAUGGAAAGAUGAAAAGAACUUUGAAAAGAGAGUGAAAAAGUACGUGAAAUUGUUGAAAGGGAAGGGCUUGAGAUCAGACUUGGUAUUUUGUAUGUUACUCUCUCGGGGGUGGCCUCUACAGUUUACCGGGCCAGCAUCAGUUUGAGCGGUAGGAGAAUUGCGUAGGAAUGUGGCUCGGCCUCGGUCGAGUGUUAUAGCCUUCGUCGAUACUGCCAGCUUAGACUGAGGACUGCGGCUUCGGCCUAGGAUGUUGGCAUAAUGAUCUUAAGUCGCCCGUCUUG
rnacentral:rRNA from 1 species